CCUACGGGUGGCAGCAGUGAGGAAUAUUGGUCAAUGGACGAGAGUCUGAACCAGCCAAGCAGCGUGCAGGAUGACUGCUCUAUGGGUUGUAAACUUCUUUUGUACGGGGGUAAACCGUUACACGUGUAUGCUUCUGUAAGUACCGUACGAAUAAGGAUCGGCUAACUCCGUGCCAGCAGCCGCGGUAAUACGGAGGGUUCGAGCGUUAAGCGGAUUUAUUGGGGGUAAAGGGUGCGUAGGCGGUAUGAUAAGUUAGGGGUGAAAUCCCCGCGCUCAACGUGGGAACUGCCUUUGAAACUGGCGAACUAGAGAGUAGUUGAGGUAGGUGGAAUGUAAGGUGUAGCAGUGAAAUGCUUAGAGAUC
rnacentral:rRNA from 1 species